CUAACGUUGGCCCCUAAUCGGGGUUGCGGACAGUGUCUGGUGGGUAGUUUGACUGGGGCGGUCUCCUCCUAAAGAGUAACGGAGGAGCACGAAGGUUGGCUAAUCCUGGUCGGACAUCAGGAGGUUAGUGCAAUGGCAUAAGCCAGCUUGACUGCGAGCGUGACGGCGCGAGCAGGUGCGAAAGCAGGUCAUAGUGAUCCGGUGGUUCUGAAUGGAAGGGCCAUCGCUCAACGGAUAAAAGGUACUCCGGGGAUAACAGGCUGAUACCGCCCAAGAGUUCAUAUCGACGGCGGUGUUUGGCACCUCGAUGUCGGCUCAUCACAUCCUGGGGCUGAAGUAGGUCCCAAGGGUAUGGCUGUUCGCCAUUUAAAGUGGUACGCGAGCUGGGUUUAGAACGUCGUGAGACAGUUCGGUCCCUAUCUGCCGUGGGCGCUGGAGAACUGAGGGGGGCUGCUCCUAGUACGAGAGGACCGGAGUGGACGCAUCACUGGUGUUCGGGUUGUCAUGCCAAUGGCACUGCCCGGUAGCUAAAUGCGGAAGAGAUAAGUGCUGAAAGCAUCUAAGCACGAAACUUGCCCCGAGAUGAGU
rnacentral:rRNA from 1 species